rnacentral:piRNA from 1 species
UCCCAGACGAUGGACGGCCAGGCAGAGA